GCGGAUGGCUGGAUGGCCGCGGGGGUGCAAGCCCUCGAGGAAAGUCCGGACUCCACGAAGCGACGGUGCCGGGUAACGCCCGGCGGGGGAAACCCCAGGGAAAGCGCCACAGAGAACAGACCGCCUCCGGUUUCGGAGGUAAGGGUGAAACGGUGGGGUAAGAGCCCACCGCGGGCCUGGCAACAGGACCGGCACGGCAAGCCCCACCGGGAGCAAUGCCGAAUAGGGACCCCGCGCAGGCUGGACCUGCAGGGCGGCUUCGGCCCAGGGGUCCGGGUUGGCAGCUUGAGCGUAUCGGUAACGGUACGCCCAGAGGAAUGGUCAUCCAGGGGGCCUCGCGCCCCCGGACAGAAUCCGGCUUACAGGCCAUCCGCGCAU
rnacentral:RNase_P_RNA from 2 species